GAAGCUCUGCUGACCGGAGACACGCCUUCUAAAGACACUCGCAGACCCGUCCUGCAGGAGGGAUGAUGUUUAUAUCGCACCAAAGACCAGGUGAUGAGGGACCUGCAGACGUCAGACGAUAAACGCUCACCGCCGCCGGGUCUCCAGACUGACGUUCCCCUCGGACAGUUCACCCCAGCUGGCCUCUAUCAGUGAAGACUGCUCCGUUGCCGUGGUUACUGCAGAGCUCAGAGAAAUGUGAGUAUUGACACAAGCCUCUCUCCUCAUUGGCUGUCCUGCAUCGACCAAUGAGAGGAGAGGAAAUCCACACACCCCAAAGUACAUGAAACUGACAAUCAGUAAACAGUUUUUGUGGCUUAAAUAUUUCAAUACAUAUCUAAUUUAACUGCAAACAAUUAAAUAAUAAACAUA